rnacentral:rRNA from 1 species
CGGGGGGCAGCAGUGAGGAAUAUUGGUCAAUGGACGCAAGUCUGAACCAGCCAUGCCGCGUGAAGGAUGAAGGCCUUCUGGGUUGUAAACUUCUUUUAUGGGGGAAGAAAAUUACGGUUUCUACUGUAACCGACGGUACCCUAGGAAUAAGCACCGGCUAACUCCGUGCCAGCAGCCGCGGUAAUACGGAGGGUGCAAGCGUUAUCCGGAUUUACUGGGUUUAAAGGGUGUGUAGGCGGGUCUUUAAGUCAGUGGUGAAAUCUCCGAGCUCAACUUGGAAACUGCCAUUGAUACUAUUGAUCUUGAAUUCUGUUGAGGUGGGCGGAAUAAGUCAUGUAGCGGUGAAAUGCAUAGAUAUGACUUAGAACCCCGAUUGCGAAGGCAGCUCACUAAGCAGACAUUGACGCUGAGGCACGAAAGCGUGGGGAUCAAACAGGAUUAGAUACCCGAGU